UACAGAGGUCUCGAGCGUUGUUCGGAUUCAUUGGGCGUAAAGGGCGCGUAGGCGGCGGGGUAAGUCUGGUGUGAAAUCUAGGAGCUCAACUCCUAAACUGCACUGGAUACUGCUCUGCUGGAGGACUGGAGAGGAGACUGGAAUUCACGGUGUAGCAGUGAAAUGCGCAGAUAUCAGGAAGAACACCCGUGGCGAAGGCGGUUCUCUGGGACGGUACUGACGCUGAGACGCGAAAGCGUGGGGAGCGAACAGG
rnacentral:rRNA from 1 species